UACGGAGGGUGCAAGCGUUAUCCGGAUUUACUGGGUUUAAAGGGUGCGUAGGCGGGCCUUUAAGUCAGUGGUGAAAUCCCCGGGCCUAACCCGGGAACUGCCAUUGAUACUAUAGGUCUUGAAUUCAGUUGAGGUGGGCGGAAUGUGUCGUGUAGCGGUGAAAUGCUUAGAUAUGACACAGAACACCGAUUGCGAAGGCAGCUCGCUAAACUGACAUUGACGCUGAGGCACGAAAGCGUGGGGAGCAAACAGG
rnacentral:rRNA from 1 species